GUUUUAAAAAAAUAUAUAAAACUACAAAUAUUUGUACAAUCCGAUAAUAAUUCUCAAAAUAGAAUUAUAGACUUUUUAAUGUUAAAAAGUCUACACAGCCAAGAGUAGUCAAUGUAUAUACAUUGCCAUUUCACGACACAAACAAAAAAGAAACAGUCUUCAAGACAUACUCCAAUGUCUUCUACGAUAAACAAAAAGAUCAUAAAAAUAUCUUCAAACUACUCCUUGAGCAACUUCACUUCCUCGUUCUUAAAGAAUCUUGUCCUUGCUAUUAAAAAAUAAAGAUGAACAUCAUUAAUAUAUGCAUAUGUACAAAGAAGACAGUAAGUUUAAAGAGAAAAUUAGCCGAAAAAAGCGAUAAGAAGUAAAGCAAAGAAAGGUACUUCUGGGAAACUUUUAAAACCCCACAAGCAAUAACUUUUUAAAGCAUGGGAACAUCAACCUUGCGGUCACAAUAUAUAUAUGGCAAGGAUGCUUAGUUUAAAUUAUUAUAAAAUAUGUCAAUCAGUGUGAGAUGUCAUUGAUACUUUGCGAAAUUCAGUUAUCAAAACCAACACAAAUAAUUAUAAAUCUGAAUAUAGUACAUGAAUUGAAAUGAAUGCACAGAGUCGUAUUACAUAAUCUAUGUCCAAAUUAUUUAAAGCAACACGGCAACGUAAUGUUCAACUAAGAACCUACUGAAACUAUCUAUAAUGUAUAAUCAAUCACCAGUCAUUAAAAUAACAGAAUUGAACUCUAUGCAGUCAGCCACCUAACAAAUGGGUGACUGGAAAUGCCUACUGGUUGCUUACAUCCUGGACCAUCUCAUUACAUUUUCUCAUAAAUGAUGAUAAACAACUUGGAUUCGUACUUAUUUACAGGUUUAUAGUAUUUCGUGAUGUCCCAGGAUUUUACUCGUAUGCCAUCUUUGAGCACACAAAAGACAUGCCUGCUUUCAAUCUUAACACAACCAGAAUCGCUUUCAUGCUCAAUAAAGAAAAGUAAGAAUCGUCGUAGCUAUUUUCUUAAAAUGAAGCAGCAUGUUAAAGUGAACGAACUUAAUUCAUUUUCAACUCUUUUUAUUCGAUAUUCUAUCAUUGGAAAGGAAUUAACUUAAUAGAUGGAGGAAAGGAAAGAAAAUGCUAGGAUGUAGUCCAAAAUGCAUUUGUUCCAACGUUCUUUUAAAAGCUGCCUUCGUAAAGAAGAAUGUUGUGUCCUUAAGGAUAUAUAAUGACCAACUCUUAGAAGAUGACCACUACAAACAGAAACCAGAAGAAGUAACUCUUUAGUAUCUUUAUGGCAUUACCAGGUUUCACUACAUGGCCAUAACAGAUGAAAGACAAAGAUUUAUGCCUAGUACUGCAGAAGACCGGCUUCCAGAGAGAGGCCAAGCGCAGCGGGCUGUCCUUUAGAAUUCUAAAAGCCCAGAACCAAUCGUUUACUCCAUAUUGCAUUUGUGGCAGUGGCAUUCUUUUUUAGUUAGAUCAUUUUACAGAAUCCUAUGUCUUCCAUGUAGAAAUGAUGAUAGACUUUUCUAAUAUAGACAGAACUUGUAGGUAUACAUAUUAUGGAUUGCAAAAUGAUUGAACAAGCAUUUAGUGAAGGUUGGUUUUCUAGAGAAGGAUUAACUAAGUUUUAAGGUGAAAAUGGCUCUGCUCAACAUUCUUUUUCCUGUUCCUUUGUGAAGAGUAAAAAUGUAUGGACAAAUAAGAUGUGAAAAAUAUUUUGUAUUUUACAAGGCAUUAGUUUAAUAUUGGAAAUUGAGAAUUCAUCAAGUUAAAUUAAUAGAAAAGGAGAACCAUGUCAUAUACACUAAACUGAUUUCAAGAGAAAUCCUUACCUGUUGCAUUCUGAUCAGCCAUCCAUCCAUCUUUUAUUCGAUUCUUUUUUCAGACAUAAUUGAGCUUUCUUCUUGAUGAUUUAGAUAGUUGGUAUAUGUGCCUUAAGGCAAGAUGUUUGACCAGCAAGAAUGACUUGAGUUUCUGAAAUAGAAGGAGCAUCAAUCGAAGGUUUGAAUGCCGUGAUAAUAUUAAUAACGAUGUCAAGCUUUGAUAAGUAGACCAUGUACAAAGCAAAUAGAUGGAAACAACAAGCUAACAAUACAUGUGGAUUAUUAGUGUACAAUCUCAACUAAGCAACUCUUCUUCUAUUGUUACCAUCUCCAUUCAAUGACAAUCAGAUACCGCCAAAAGUAUCUCAGAAAACUUAAACAGAAAGUACUGGUAUUUACGCGUAUAACGGUAAUUAGAGGAAUAUUUAGGUCCAAGAAUAUGAGAACAAAUAAAUGCUCAAUCUGCAAGUAGAAUGACCUCAAGAAGACCACCAGCCAAUCUUGACAGAAACUCUAACUGAUUUACUUUCCUUCAAUCUGUUGGUGUUUGUCAUGAUUGGUAUAUAUGAUGAUCUAGUUCUAUAAUAAUUUUCUACUAUGAUGAUUUGAUCAAGCGUAGCAUUGUGUUAUCUGUAUAUGUUGUGUAUGCUUAACUUAGUUAUAUUGCUAGUUUACUGAUAUUAACUUAUAUAUUGGUUUAUAAUCGAUCUCAUUGGUUGAUAACUCACAGUUCUUGGUCUUUACAUAUCAUGUCUACAAGACACUAAUCAUUUGAUAUAUUGACGAUACCUAGUUAUAAUCUAUAUAAAUAUAUAAAGCUGGGACUUGGCAAGGUGAUGUGGCAUAUCUAUAUGGCCGAGAAACUUAAUAAUCUUUUUUGUCAAUUUAUUGGAUUUAGUCCUUUUUCCCCUAUUUAUUUGCUAUUUUUAAGAAUUCAUAAGUCACUUUGUUAAAAAUCAAAAGUCACGUCAUCUCCUCUUCUUUCUCAUUAAGAAAACAGUUGUGCUAGGCUUUAAAUUUCAAUUAAAGGGGAAGACAUUCAACAAAAAUUGAAUAUGAAAAGACACAUGCAUGCUUUCAAUUUUGGGACGUUUCAUUUCCUACAACACGUCCGUUGAUGAUAUCCUUGGUUAAUCCGAAACCACCUAAGAAUAAUCUCUGACUGGUGUUUCUUCAAUGUGCAAUCAUCAACCCACAAACCCCACUUUAUUCUAUCCCAAAAAUAUUCUUCUAUUAGAAAGACUACACACAAAGCAAUCUUAACGAAAUUUAAUGAAAAAAUAAGGAGAAAGUAUCUGAUAUUACAGAUUGUACAUUGGACAAAUCCAGAGAAAAACAGAGGUUAGCUGAUAUAUAUGAGUAUCUUUUCUUCAACAAUAAUGUUGAACUCAAGCAACAAAUAAUUCCUAAACUGAUUGAGAAGAAAUAGCUUACUGAUGUUCUUCAGCGCAGCAUGGUGAAAAUUGCCAUUUGGGUGAAAAUCGUCACUUGGAUUCGUCGAUUUUGUGCUCUGGCUUAGGGCUAUUUUGAAGAGAGAAUUUCCAGUUGGAUUUUGAGAUUAGAAAUUGAUCUCUUGAGCGUGAGAUUUCUGCCCUUUUGAGUUAGGGCUACUUUUGAGUUCUAUUCCUUUUUUGAGCGUGAGAAAUUUUUGAGAAUUGAGACCAGAUUGUUUU
rnacentral:lncRNA from 1 species